rnacentral:rRNA from 1 species
UAGAGUUUGAUCAUGGCUCAGAUUGAACGCUGGCGGCAGGCCUAACACAUGCAAGUCGAGCGGUAGAGAGAAGCUUGCUUCUCUUGAGAGCGGCGGACGGGUGAGUAAUGCCUAGGAAUCUGCCUGGUAGUGGGGGAUAACGUUCGGAAACGGACGCUAAUACCGCAUACGUCCUACGGGAGAAAGCAGGGGACCUUCGGGCCUUGCGCUAUCAGAUGAGCCUAGGUCGGAUUAGCUAGUUGGUGGGGUAAUGGCUCACCAAGGCGACGAUCCGUAACUGGUCUGAGAGGAUGAUCAGUCACACUGGAACUGAGACACGGUCCAGACUCCUACGGGAGGCAGCAGUGGGGAAUAUUGGACAAUGGGCGAAAGCCUGAUCCAGCCAUGCCGCGUGUGUGAAGAAGGUUUUCGGAUUGUAAAGCACUUUAAGUUGGGAGGAAGGGUUGUAGAUUAAUACUCUGCAAUUUUGACGUUACCGACAAAAUAAGCACCGGCUAACUCUGUGCCAGCAGCCGCGGUAAUACAGAGGGUGCAAGCGUUAAUCGGAAUUACUGGGCGUAAAGCGCGCGUAGGUGGUUUGUUAAGUUGGAUGUGAAAUCCCCGGGCUCAACCUGGGAACUGCAUUCAAAACUGACUGACUAGAGUAUGGUAGAGGGUGGUGGAAUUUCCUGUGUAGCGGUGAAAUGCGUAGAUAUAGGAAGGAACACCAGUGGCGAAGGCGACCACCUGGACUAAUACUA